rnacentral:snRNA from 1 species
GGAGGUGAGGGCAAUCUGACUGUGACAUCCGUCACGCUGUUGAUUACCAGGGUUGAUCUGGCUGAUCUGGCUGGCUAGGCAGGUGUCCCCUUCCUCCCUCACCACUCCAUGUAUGUCCCUCCUGAAGCUGCGCCCUCCAUCAAAGAGAAUGACCGUCCCCAGUAGAGGAGGACUGGCUUCGGUCGGGGUAUAUGAGUAGCUGCAUUCCUAGAACUCCAAGCUCUCAAGUUCCCGGAUAGCUGGUACUAUAGGCAUCAUACUUCACUAUCAUUCCCUUCUCAAUUAAAGAUAGUGCUGUUCUUUUAACUG